CAGAGGAAGGGCAGCAGUGAUGAUGUCAGAAGCAUGGCCUGUACUGAUUGGUUAGGAGCUUCCUGGGGAGAGCCUAUAAAAUAGCCAACAUCAACAGCGGUAAGAAGCAAAGGCAGGAAAGCUGGGAACCUGAGAAAUUCCAGGAACUGUCCACUGAACUCUCCAACACGUCUGUGUGUCUGUGUAUCUGACAACCCCGGAUUAGAGAUGCUGGGCUGUGGCUGUGCUGUGCUCUCAUGUCUUUUGACGUUGACGCUGUUCCACUGUAGUGUCGACAGCCUCCACCUGACUCAAGAAAGCCCUGAGUACGGGGCCCUGGAGGAGCCGGUGUCCAGGGGCCGGCCGGUGGAGCCGAAGUCUCCUGAGGGCAUCACAGCCAAGCUGCUGCUGCUGGACCAGCAGGUGGCGCUAGAGAACGACGUCAUCGAGACCAAGAAGAAGAGAAGCUUCCCGGGGUCCAACACCCCAAUGGACCGCCUCUCCAUCAGCACAAUGGACAACAACAAAAAACAACAACAACAAGCAGAGGAAAGUCGUCGAGUUACCAAGGCGAAGGGUGAAUGUUCCCAUUGACCGGAUCGGAGUGGGCCGCCUACCAAGCAACCGAGGAUAAGACCCGCCACUGCCUCCCUACCCCCUCUCCUGUGAGACUGGGGCAUCAGUCCAGCUGGCAGCAACAUGGAAUACAUAACAAAUACAAAGACACAUAAAGACAUCUCCUCCGUCUCCUCCUUCUCUUCCUUGCUUCACACCUGAGCUCUUAACACGGACACAAGCCACUAUGUCCACACCCAGAACCCGUCCUAAUCCCUACACACCAACCCUUCUCCACUCUUUUUACACUGCCUAUAAUCCCAGAUUAGAGUAGAAAGCAGAAAUACACAGUCCCAACACCUCGCCCUGACUUCACACCAAGCUCCCAUUCCCUAUCCAAAAGCCUCUCACCUGUAUUUGAUACUCAGUAUUCAUAUACUUUAUAAAGCCUUAUGACGCUCUAUGACUACCACAAAGCUCUGUGUACUUUUCACUGCAUACAGCUAUGCCCCUUUACAAUAGCAGCAUUAUACUCCACAAGCACAGGAACUCCAGCACACUAUGUAGGGCCUCACACCUUGUGCCUUAGACCCACUUGCAGAGGGGAUGGUCAUGGUCUCCGUGGUAACUACAGAACAGCACUAUUUACCCCUGUUGCCUGAGCGCUGUUGUUUGUUAAUCUCACUGUAGUAAACUGUUCCAUUCUGCACAAAGACAGGAGGCCCACUGCCUUGACAUUAAAACUGAUC